AAACAAUGUUUUAAGGUGUCUUUUAGGAAAUCACUUCUGCACCUCGUCCUUCUUUGAAUGAAUCUAUAGCCCAAAUAUAUAAAGUAAUGGCAGAAUACCUCUUUUGUGGAAAGCUGGCAGUGCUGGCAUUCAGCUAGUUCCCUACCAGAAUUCUACCCUCCCUAAAAUUGUUAAGAUUCACUUAAUUAUGUCUUUUAGAUUGGGAUGGUUUCUAGCAGUUUUCCACUUUGCCAAUCUGCUUAAAAGAGACAACUAUCAUCAUUUAAUUUUACUCAUAAUUUCAGCCUCAUAUAGAAUACCUAACUGUUAAAAUUUUCCUGUGGCUACAAAAACUUAGUGAAAAGCUGGAUGUGGUGGCACAUGCCUGUAACCCCAGCACUCAGGAGGCUGAGGCAGGAGGAUUGCCAGGAGUUUGAGGCCAGCCUGGGCUACAUAGUGAGUUCAAUGCCAGCCUGGACUACAUAGAGAGACCCUGUCUCAAACCCCCCUGCCAAAAAAAGUGAAAAAUGUAAAUCUGAGUGAAAACAAGGAGCAAGACAACACAAUGAUAGAGAAAGACAGAAAAGAUUAUUGGCUAUAAUAUACAAAAAAAGGACAUUUUUCCAUGUUUCAGGUGUGAAAGGUGAAAAAGCAAAAUCAACACAACAGUAUCAUUUCAGAAACAACAGUGUACACUGCAAGCCUAGAAAGUUGAACAAAGCCAAAAGAACUUGACAUCUUUCAGGCCUGUACCAGGAAGGUCAAUGCUGAAUGGUGAAACCAAUCACAGAGUAAACUCACACAACACACUGACGUGACAACUGCUAUGGUUUGGAUCUAAAUGUCCCCCAGAGCCUCAGGUCUCAGAGGUGGCUUUUGGAAGGUGACUGUUCGUGGGGCACUGUACUCCUCAGUGGACUGAUCGAUCCACUGGUCAAACCAUAGCUGGAGGUGCAGUUAGGAGGUGGGGCCUGCUCAGAAGAGGUAAGUGACUGGGGGGUGACCUGGGAAAGCAUCUCCCUCUCCCCUCUCUCUCCUUCCUGGCCAUCAUGGGCUGAGCAGCUGUCCUCUGCCCAGGCCCGUUACCACCCUUUCUGCCUUUGAGCCAGCUGAUCAGGCGCUGAAAAUGUGUACUAAAAUCAGCCUCGGUUGCUUUAAGUUGUGGGUGUUGGGUAUUGUGUCCUAGGGAUUAGAAAGUAACUAAGACAGCAACACUUAGCAAUAGCAUUAACAAGUCUCACCUCAGUGCUUACUCAUUGUGUAGAAAAAAAUACAAAGAUUAAAAAACAGUGUAAUUUUCAAACAGGUCAUGCAACAAGAAAGAAAAGAGGAUUUCUGUUGUAACGUUUAAAAGAAGACUCACAGCAGCGAGCUAACCAACUGAGCAGAGAUGUUCAGAAGACCUAAUCCAAGACCUAAGGCCUUCUCUGACUUUUCACUCCCACUUCAUAAUGUGGAGCUAACAUAUGGACAUGCCUAGAUGGGAAUCAAGCUUCACUGGUCAGGACGGUCGGCCUACAUCGUGUGUUGUACCAAUGCACUUCGAGCAGGCUACAUGGACGAGAAGCACUCAUUUAAGGAGAGCCCUGUUGCUGGACAUGCGAGAUUGAUGCCAAUGGUUCUAUGGGAAAUGGAGUCACAAGAAAUUCAGGCCAGAAUUCAGGGUUGGGAGAAGUAUGAUGAUGUUCCAGAUGAUAUGACUGUAUUUGAAUAAAGGCAGUUUUAUACAUAAAUAAAGAUUGAUUUUAUUUAUUUAUUUAUUUUUUGUACCAGGGAUCGAACCCGGGUCUUUGCGCUUGCGAGGGCAGGCGGCAGAACCACUGAGCUAAAUCCCUGGCCCAAAUAUUGCUUUUAUAUAAAAAUGAAUAAAUGUAGCUUAUUAUACACGAAAAAAUAAGAUAUCCCCUGAAAAUAAGCCCUAUUUUGUCUUUUAUAGCAAAAAUUACUUUUG